rnacentral:rRNA from 1 species
GACGAACGCUGGCGGCGUGCUUAACACAUGCAAGUCGAACGGACAGGCCCUGCUUUUGUGGGGUGCUCGAGUGGCGAACGGGUGAGUAACACGUGAGUAACCUGCCCUUGACUUUGGGAUAACUUCAGGAAACUGGGGCUCAUACCGGAUAGGAGCUCCUGCUGCAUGGUGGGGGUUGGAAAGUUUCGGCGGUUGGGGAUGGACUCGCGGCUUAUCAGCUUGUUGGUGGGGUAGUGGCUUACCAAGGCUUUGACGGGUAGCCGGCCUGAGAGGGUGACCGGCCACAUUGGGACUGAGAUACGGCCCAGACUCCUACGGGAGGCAGCAGUGGGGAAUAUUGCACAAUGGGCGGAAGCCUGAUGCAGCAACGCCGCGUGCGGGAUGACGGCCUUCGGGUUGUAAACCGCUUUCGCCUGUGACGAAGCGUGAGUGACGGUAAUGGGUAAAGAAGCACCGGCCAACUACGUG